rnacentral:rRNA from 1 species
AACGAACGCUGGCGGCGUGGAUAAGACAUGCAAGUCGAACGGGAGUUUGUUUAUAGCAAUAUGAGUGAACUCUAGUGGCGAAAGGGUGCGUAACACGUAGCUACCUACCUCGAAGUUGGGAUAGCUCGGCGAAAGCCGGAUUAAUACCGAAUGUGAUCGUAAGAUCAAAGCUGGGGAUCGUAAGACCUGGCGCUUUGAGAUGGGGCUGCGGCCUAUCAGCUAGNGGCGGGGUAACGGCCCACCAAGGCUUAGACGGGUAGCUGGUCUGAGAGGACGACCAGCCACACUGGAACUGAGACACGGUCCAGACUCCUACGGGAGGCAGCAGUGGGGAAUCUUGCGCAAUGGGCGAAAGCCUGACGCAGCGACGCCG